rnacentral:rRNA from 1 species
GGGUUGUGAGGUUAAGCGACUAAGCGUACACGGUGGAUGCCCUGGCAGUCAGAGGCGAUGAAGGACGUGCUAAUCUGCGAUAAGCGUCGGUAAGGUGAUAUGAACCGUUAUAACCGGCGAUUUCCGAAUGGGGAAACCCAGUGUGAUUCGUCACACUAUCAUUAACUGAAUCCAUAGGUUAAUGAGGCGAACCGGGGGAACUGAAACAUCUAAGUACCCCGAGGAAAAGAAAUCAACCGAGAUUCCCCCAGUAGCGGCGAGCGAACGGGGAGCAGCCCAGAGCCUGAAUCAGUGUGUGUGUUAGUGGAAGCGUCUGGAAAGGCGUGCGAUACAGGGUGACAGCCCCGUACACAAAAAUGCACAUACUGUGAGCUCGAUGAGUAGGGCGGGACACGUGGUAUCCUGUCUGAAUAUGGGGGGACCAUCCUCCAAGGCUAAAUACUCCUGACUGACCGAUAGUGAACCAGUACCGUGAGGGAAAGGCGAAAAGAACCCCGGCGAGGGGAGUGAAAAAGAACCUGAAACCGUGUACGUACAAGCAGUGGGAGUGCGCUUAGGCGUGUGACUGCGUACCUUUUGUAUAAUGGGUCAGCGACUUAUAUUCUGUAGCAAGGUUAACCGAAUAGGGGAGCCGAAGGGAAACCGAGUCUUAACUGGGCGUUAAGUUGCAGGGUAUAGACCCGAAACCCGGUGAUCUAGCCAUGGGCAGGUUGAAGGUUGGGUAACACUAACUGGAGGACCGAACCGACUAAUGUUGAAAAAUUAGCGGAUGACUUGUGGCUGGGGGUGAAAGGCCAAUCAAACCGGGAGAUAGCUGGUUCUCCCCGAAAGCUAUUUAGGUAGCGCCUCGUGAAUUCAUCUCCGGGGGUAGAGCACUGUUUCGGCAAGGGGGUCAUCCCGACUUACCAACCCGAUGCAAACUGCGAAUACCGGAGAAUGUUAUCACGGGAGGCACACGGCGGGUGCUAACGUCCGUCGUGAAGAGGGAAACAACCCAGACCGCCAGCUAAGGUCCCAAAGUCAUGGUUAAGUGGGAAACGAUGUGGGAAGGCCCAGACAGCCAGGAUGUUGGCUUAGAAGCAGCCAUCAUUUAAAGAAAGCGUAAUAGCUCACUGGUCGAGUCGGCCUGCGCGGAAGAUGUAACGGGGCUAAACCAUGCACCGAAGCUGCGGCAGCGACGCUUAUGCGUUGUUGGGUAGGGGAGCGUUCUGUAAGCCUGUGAAGGUGUGCUGUGAGGUAUGCUGGAGGUAUCAGAAGUGCGAAUGCUGACAUAAGUAACGAUAAAGCGGGUGAAAAGCCCGCUCGCCGGAAGACCAAGGGUUCCUGUCCAACGUUAAUCGGGGCAGGGUGAGUCGACCCCUAAGGCGAGGCCGAAAGGCGUAGUCGAUGGGAAACAGGUUAAUAUUCCUGUACUUGGUGUUACUGCGAAGGGGGGACGGAGAAGGCUAUGUUGGCCGGGCGACGGUUGUCCCGGUUUAAGCGUGUAGGCUGGUUUUCCAGGCAAAUCCGGAAAAUCAAGGCCGAGGCGUGAUGACGAGGCACUACGGUGCUGAAGCAACAAAUGCCCUGCUUCCAGGAAAAGCCUCUAAGCAUCAGGUAACAUCAAAUCGUACCCCAAACCGACACAGGUGGUCAGGUAGAGAAUACCAAGGCGCUUGAGAGAACUCAGGUGAAGGAACUAGGCAAAAUGGUGCCGUAACUUCGGGAGAAGGCACGCUGAUACGUAGGUGAAGCGACUUGCUCGUGGAGCUGAAAUCAGUCGAAGAUACCAGCUGGCUGCAACUGUUUAUUAAAAACACAGCACUGUGCAAACACGAAAGUGGACGUAUACGGUGUGACGCCUGCCCGGUGCCGGAAGGUUAAUUGAUGGGGUUAGCGCAAGCGAAGCUCUUGAUCGAAGCCCCGGUAAACGGCGGCCGUAACUAUAACGGUCCUAAGGUAGCGAAAUUCCUUGUCGGGUAAGUUCCGACCUGCACGAAUGGCGUAAUGAUGGCGAGGCUGUCUCCACCCGAGACUCAGUGAAAUUGAACUCGCUGUGAAGAUGCAGUGUACCCGCGGCAAGACGGAAAGACCCCGUGAACCUUUACUAUAGCUUGACACUGAACAUUGAGCCUUGAUGUGUAGGAUAGGUGGGAGGCUUUGAAGUGUGGACGCCAGUCUGCAUGGAGCCGACCUUGAAAUACCACCCUUUAAUGUUUGAUGUUCUAACGUGGACCCGUAAUCCGGGUUGCGGACAGUGUCUGGUGGGUAGUUUGACUGGGGCGGUCUCCUCCUAAAGAGUAACGGAGGAGCACGAAGGUUGGCUAAUCCUGGUCGGACAUCAGGAGGUUAGUGCAAUGGCAUAAGCCAGCUUGACUGCGAGCGUGACGGCGCGAGCAGGUGCGAAAGCAGGUCAUAGUGAUCCGGUGGUUCUGAAUGGAAGGGCCAUCGCUCAACGGAUAAAAGGUACUCCGGGGAUAACAGGCUGAUACCGCCCAAGAGUUCAUAUCGACGGCGGUGUUUGGCACCUCGAUGUCGGCUCAUCACAUCCUGGGGCUGAAGUAGGUCCCAAGGGUAUGGCUGUUCGCCAUUUAAAGUGGUACGCGAGCUGGGUUUAGAACGUCGUGAGACAGUUCGGUCCCUAUCUGCCGUGGGCGCUGGAGAACUGAGGGGGGCUGCUCCUAGUACGAGAGGACCGGAGUGGACGCAUCACUGGUGUUCGGGUUGUCAUGCCAAUGGCACUGCCCGGUAGCUAAAUGCGGAAGAGAUAAGUGCUGAAAGCAUCUAAGCACGAAACUUGCCCCGAGAUGAGUUCUCCCUGACCCUUUAAGGGUCCUGAAGGAACGUUGAAGACGACGACGUUGAUAGGCCGGGUGUGUAAGCGCAGCGAUGCGUUGAGCUAACCGGUACUAAUGAACCGUGAGGCUUAACCUUACAACGCCGAAGGUGUUU